rnacentral:rRNA from 1 species
CCAGACUCCUACGGGAGGCAGCAGUGGGGAAUAUUGCACAAUGGGCGGAAGCCUGAUGCAGCAACGCCGCGUGCGGGAUGACGGCCUUCGGGUUGUAAACCGCUUUCGCCUGUGACGAAGCGUGAGUGACGGUAAUGGGUAAAGAAGCACCGGCUAACUACGUGCCAGCAGCCGCGGUGAUACGUAGGGUGCGAGCGUUGUCCGGAUUUAUUGGGCGUAAAGGGCUCGUAGGUGGUUGAUCGCGUCGGAAGUGUAAUCUUGGGGCUUAACCCUGAGCGUGCUUUCGAUACGGGUUGACUUGAGGAAGGUAGGGGAGAAUGGAAUUCCUGGUGGAGCGGUGGAAUGCGCAGAUAUCAGGAGGAACACCAGUGGCGAAGGCGGUUCUCUGGGCCUUUCCUGACGCUGAGGAGCGAAAGCGUGGGGAGCGAACAGGCUUAGAUACCCUGGUAGUCCACGCUGUAAACGGUGGGUACUAGGUGUGGGGUCCAUUCCACGGGUUCCGCGCCGUAGCUAACGCUUUAAGUACCCCGCCUGGGGAGUACGGCCGCAAGGCUAAAACUCAAAGGAAUUGACGGGGGCCCGCACAAG